rnacentral:rRNA from 1 species
AUUGAACGCUGGCGGCAGGCCUAACACAUGCAAGUCGAGCGGAGCGGCGGACGGGUGAGUAAUGCCUAGGAAUCUGCCUGGUAGUGGGGGAUAACGUCCGGUAACGGGCGCUAAUACCGCAUACUAUCAGAUGAGCCUAGGUCGGCUUAGCUAGUGGUUGGGGUAAAGGCCUACCAGGGCGAAGACCCGUAACUGGUCGGAGAGGAUGAUCAGCCACACGGGAACUGAGACACGGUCCAGACUCCUACGGGAGGCAGCAGUGGGGAAUAUUGCACAAUGGGCGCAAGCCUGAUGCAGCCAUGCCGCGUGUAUGAAGAAGGCCUUCGGGUUGUAAAGUACUUUCAGCGGGGAGGCGUUACCCGCAGAAGAAGCACCGGCUAACUACGUGCCAGCCGCCGCGGUAAUAC